GCUGGCGGCGUGCUUAACACAUGCAAGUGGAGCGACGAACCAGGGCUUGCCCUGGGGCAAAGCCGCGAACGGGUGAGUAACACGUGGGUUACCUGCCCCGAUGAUUGGGACAACCCGAGGAAACUCGAGCUAAUACCAAAUGUGCUCCUGGCCGUAAUGGCCUUGAGGAAAGGAAGCUUCGGCCUCCGCAUCGGGAUGGGCCCGCGGCCCAUUAGCUUGUUGGUGGGGUAAUGGCCUACCAAGGCGACGAUGGGUAGCUGGUCUGAGAGGACGAUCAGCCACACUGGGACUGAGACACGGCCCAGACUCCUACGGGAGGCAGCAGUGGGGAAUCUUGCGCAAUGCGCGAAAGCGUGACGCAGCAACGCCGCGUGGGGGAAGAAGGCUUUCGGGUUGUAAACCCCUUUCAGUUGGGACGAAGCUCCGUCGGUGAAUAGCCGGCUGGAGUGACGGUACCUUCACAAGAAGCACCGGCUAACUAC
rnacentral:rRNA from 1 species